rnacentral:rRNA from 1 species
CAGCAGCCACGGUAAUACGUAGGGUGCGAGCGUUAAUCGGAAUUACUGGGCGUAAAGCGUGCGCAGGCGGUUAUAUAAGUCAGAUGUGAAAUCCCCGGGCUCAACCUGGGAACUGCAUUUGAGACUGUAUGGCUAGAGUGUGUCAGAGGGGGGUAGAAUUCCACGUGUAGCAGUGAAAUGCGUAGAUAUGUGGAGGAAUACCGAUGGCGAAGGCAGCCCCCUGGGAUAACACUGACGCUCAUGCACGAAAGCGUGGGGAGCAAACAGGAUUAGAUACCCCCGUAGUCCCUGUCUCUUAUAC